rnacentral:miRNA from 1 species
AAUCAUGUGCAGUGCCAAUAUG